GAUGAGCGCUGGCGGCGUGCCUAAUACAUGCAAGUCGAGCGAACAGACGAGGAGCUUGCUCCUCUGACGUUAGCGGCGGACGGGUGAGUAACACGUGGAUAACCUACCUAUAAGACUGGGAUAACUUCGGGAAACCGGAGCUAAUACCGGAUAAUAUAUUGAACCGCAUGGUUCAAUAGUGAAAGACGGUUUUGCUGUCACUUAUAGAUGGAUCCUCGCCGCAUUAGCUAGUUGGUAAGGUAACGGCUUACCAAGGCAACGAUGCGUAGCCGACCUGAGAGGGUGAUCGGCCACACUGGAACUGAGACACGGUCCAGACUCCUACGGGAGGCAGCAGUAGGGAAUCUUCCGCAAUGGGCGAAAGACUGACGGAGCAACGCCGCGUGAGUGAUGAAGGUCUUCGGAUCGUAAAACUCUGUUAUUAGGGAAGAACAAAUGUGUAAGUAACUAUGCACGUCUUGACGGUACCUAAUCAGAAAGCCACGGCUAACUACGUG
rnacentral:rRNA from 1 species